rnacentral:rRNA from 1 species
AACCAGGGCUUCGGCCCUGGGGACAGCGGCGAACGGGUGAGUAACACGUGGAUAACCUGCCCUCGGCACCGGAAUAGCCCGGGGAAACUCGGAUUAAUGCCGGAUAGCCCCACAUCCCUGCGGGGAACGUGGGAAAAGGUAGCUUCGGCCUCUGGCCGAGGAUGGGUCCGCGGUGGAUUAGCUUGUUGGCGGGGUAACGGCCCACCAAGGCGACGAUCCAUAGCUGGUCUGAGAGGACGAUCAGCCACACUGGGACUGAGACACGGCCCAGACUCCUACGGGAGGCAGCAGUGGGGAAUCUUGCGCAAUGGGCGAAAGCCUGACGCAGCGACGCCGCGUGCGGGAAGAAGGCCUUCGGGUUGUAAACCGCUUUCAGGAGGGACGAAGCCACUCGGGUUAAUAGCCCAGAGGGUGACGGUACCUCCAGAAGAAGCCCCGGCUAACUACGUGCCAGCAGCCGCGGUAAUACGUAGGGGGCAAGCGUUGUCCGGAUUCAUUGGGCGUAAAGAGCGUGUAGGCGGCCAGGUAGGUCGGUUGUGAAAACUGGAGGCUCAACCUUCAGAGGUCGACCGAAACCAUCUGGCUAGAGUCCGGGAGAGGAGAGUGGAAUUCCUGGUGUAGCGGUGUAAUGCGCAGAUAUCAGGAAGAACACCCGUGGCGAAAGCGGCUCUCUGGAACGGUACUGACGCUGAGACGCGAAAGCGUGGGGAGCGAACAGGAUUAGAUACCCUGGUAGUCCACGCCGUAAACGAUGGGCACUA